AGCAGCCGCGGUAAUUCCAGCUCCAAUAGCGUAUAUUAAAGUUGUUGCAGUUAAAAAGCUCGUAGUUGAAUUUCGGGGUUAGUAGGUGUCGAUGCUCUGUAGUGUACUGUCGUCUACUGAUUCCUCCUUCCUGAUGAACCGUAAUGCCAUUAAUUUGGUGUUGCGGGGAAUUUGGACUGUUACUUUGAAAAAUUAGAGUGUUUAAAGCAAGCUAACGCUUGAAUACAUUAGCAUGGAAUAAUGAAAUAGGACGUUCGAUCCUAUUUUGUUGGUUUCUAGGAUUUGACGUAAUGAUUAAUAGGGAUAGUUGGGGGCAUUAGUAUUCAAUUGUCAGAGGUGAAAUUCUUGGAUUUAUUGAAGACUAACUACUGCGAAAGCAUUUGCCAAGGAUGUUUCAUUAAUCAAGAACGAAAGUUAGGGGAUCGAAGACGAUCAGAUACCGUCGUAGUCUUAACCAUAAACUAUGCCGACU
rnacentral:rRNA from 1 species